AUACGUAGGGUGCGAGCGUUAAUCGGAAUUACUGGGCGUAAAGCGUGCGCAGGCGGUUCGCUAAGACCGAUGUGAAAUCCCCGGGCUUAACCUGGGAACUGCAUUGGUGACUGGCGGGCUAGAGUGUGGCAGAGGGGGGUAGAAUUCCACGUGUAGCAGUGAAAUGCGUAGAGAUGUGGAGGAAUACCGAUGGCGAAGGCAGCCCCCUGGGCCAACACUGACGCUCAUGCACGAAAGCGUGGGGAGCAAACAGGAUUAGAUACCCUGGUAGUCCACGCCCUAAACGAUGUCAACUAGUUGUUGGGGAUUCAUUUCCUUAGUAACGUAGCUAACGCGUGAAGUUGACCGCCUGGGGAGUACGGUCGCAAGAUUAAA
rnacentral:rRNA from 1 species